ensembl:snRNA U6 U6 spliceosomal RNA
CUGGUUCUACAGCAGAUAUACCCAAAGUGGAAUGAUACAGAAGCUAGCACUGCCCCUAGGUGAGGAUGACAAGCAAAUUCUUGCAGCAUUCCAUGUUUUU